rnacentral:lncRNA from 1 species
CUUGUAUACAACCAGAGAAAUGAAAAAUGGUGCUCUGUGUGCGUAAUAAGAAUUAUAAUGCAUCCCACUGUCAUAUAUAAAUUAAAAAAUUAAUUUAAAAAAAGUUUAAAACUAGAAUAGAAAGGGCUGGGAUGCAGCUCAGUGGUAGAGCGGCCCCUGGAUUCAGUCCCCAGAACCACAAAACAAACAAACAAAAAAGUGAAACCUGAGCCCUGCCCCAAAUGACCAGGCGCGGCUGCUCGGGGUCACCUCUUCUCCUCUCACCUCCUCCCAUUUACUCUGUGGCUCAGACCCCUCCCAUCUCCUGUGGAAUAAGAGCCAACAUGCUCCCUGAGGUCCAGAGGCCCUGUGUGCUGUGUGCCCUGUCACCUCUCUGCCCUCCCCUCCCCCACGCUGAGCCACACAGGCCUCCUCCCCAUUCCCCAAACAGGCCAAGCAUGUCCCCACCUCUGGGCCUUCGCACCAGUUCCUGAACAUUCUUGCCCCAGAUCUUCGCAGGGGGCUUCCUCCUGUCCCUCACGUUCACCUUCACUUGCUCAGAGGCCCUCCUUGACCUUGUGCGCAGAAUUAGUCUUGAUUUAUUGUCUUCAUAGCACUAUUAGGGCCUCACUAAGUGCUGAGAUUUGGACUCAAAUUUGCGACCCAAUCCUUGUGCCUCAGUCUCCCGUGUCACUGGGAUUACAGACAUGUCCAUGCCCGGCAUACAGUCAUGUCCACUUAACAGUGAGGAUACUUCCUGAGACCCUCAUCAUUAGGCAAGUCUGUCAUUGUGCAAUUAGCAUAUUAGAACUGACAGUAGGGGUUCCCACACCGGCUGGCUCUAGACCGUGUUUUCUGAGGAGUAUGGUCAGAGCCCCAGCUAGCUUAAGUAGCUCCCGUAUGUGAAUGGGAAAAAGACCCGCCUUCCUCCUGGCGGACACUGCCGCACCAGGUAUGUAGUUUGGCAGACAGAAUGCACACUGAAACUCAGUCCUGCCUGAUAUCUUGGUUUAGUACUUUUGCACAAUAGACAACCUGUAGAACUGCCCUGGUGUUCCUGCCCUGGUCUUAUUAAAAUGGUACGUGGAAUGUACUAAGUACCCUCCUCCAAAUGUUUCCUUAGGGAGGGAGAAAGAGAGAAAUAAAGAAUAAAGAAGAAUAUAGUCAUAUUCACUCAACAGUGAGGAUACUUCCUGAGACACACAUCAUUAGGCAAUUCUGUCAUUGUGCAAACAUCGGUUUCACUUACACAGACUAUGAUGCCCCUAGGUGAUAUAAUCUUGAGGGACCACUAUUGUAUAUGUGGCUCUUUGUCCACUGAAAUGUCAUGCAUCACAUGACCAUAAGUCCAUCGGGACAGGUUUUGCUGCUGUAACAAACAUCCCCCAAAUAUUAAUGGUUGGACCAACCAAGGUUUAGGUUUUGUUCUUGCUGUGCAUCC